GCAUAUCAAUAAGCGGAGGAAAAGAAACCAACAGGGAUUACCUCAGUAACGGCGAGUGAAGCGGUAACAGCUCAAAUUUGAAAUCUGGGUCUUUCGGGCCCCGAGUUGUAAUUUGUAGAAGAUGCUUUGGGUGCGGCCCCGGUCUAAGUUCCUUGGAACAGGACGUCAUAGAGGGUGAGAAUCCCGUAUGUGAUCGGUGGCCUGCGCCCGUGUAAAGCUCUUUCGACGAGUCGGGUUGUUUGGGAAUGCAGCUCUAAAUGGGUGGUAAAUUUCAUCUAAAGCUAAAUAUUGGCCAGAGACCGAUAGCGCACAAGUAGAGUGAUCGAAAGAUGAAAAGCACUUUGGAAAGAGAGUUAAACAGUACGUGAAAUUGUUGAAAGGGAAGCGCUUGCAACCAGACUUGCGCGGGGCCGAUCAUCCGGGGUUCUCCCCGGUGCACUCGGCCUCGCUCAGGCCAGCAUCGGUUUCGGUGGUUGGAUAAAGGCCUUGGGAAUGUGGCUCCUCUCGGGGAGUGUUAUAGCCCUCGGUGCAAUGCAGCCUACCGGGACCGAGGACCGCGCUUCGGCUAGGAUGCUGGCGUAAUGGUUGUAAGCGACCCGUCUUGAAACACGGACCAAGGAGUCUAACAUCUAUGCGAGUGUUUGGGUGUCAAACCCAUACGCGUAAUGAAAGUGAACGGAGGUGAGAACCCUUAAGGGUGCAUCAUCGACCGAUCCUGAUGUCUUCGGAUGGAUUUGAGUAAGAGCAUAGCUGUUGGGACCCGAAAGAUGGUGAACUAUGCCUGAAUAGGGUGAAGCCAGAGGAAACUCUGGUGGAGGCUCGCAGCGGUUCUGACGUGCAAAUCGAUCGUCAAAUUUGGGUAUAGGGGGCGAAAGACUAAUCGAACCAUCUAGUAGCUGGUUCCUGCCGA
rnacentral:rRNA from 1 species